CCCCCACGCGCUUUCACUCCCCCGACGAUUUUCUCCAGUCUCUGCGUCUCCCGUCUCUGUCUGUCCACGUCGUCUCCGCGUCUCCCGUCUCUGUCUGUCCACGUCGUCUUCGUGUCCACGUCUCCACGUCUCCGUCUUCUCGACUUCAUCGAUUUUCGUGUUCUCCACCUCUCCGCGUUUCCGUUGUCCGUUGUUCGAUAGUCCGCGCCGUUCUCAUUCUCUUCCGCUAUAAAGUUUGUUGUUUUCUUCCCCAUCUUUCUCCCCACGGUCACUUCCUCCACUCUCGUUCUCUUCCGUUUUUUUCGUUUUUUUUUCAUCGAUUUAGAUGACGCAUCGAUCGAUAUAAAGUACAACUUUUAGAAAGAGUAAGGUAGAUAGAAGUAGGUAGGUAGAAAAGGUCAUAGGUAGGUAAAAAAAGUGAUGAGUGGUACUUUUUGUUUAUGAAGAUGUGUGUAAAAAAAUGAUUAAAAAACUAUAAAAAAAAUGACAGCUAAGAUUAACUAUGAUAAGAUUCAACAGCUCAGCAAAGGUGAGCGUUUUUUAACACACUCUAUGCUGAGUGCACCUGAAAAAAGUUGUAUACAUUUUAGUAUAACAAAAUUCUGUUAUAUUUUACACUACAAUUGGAAAACGAUGUUUUAUAAUUUUUAGGAACUAAUUCUUUGCUUUCAAUAACCUCAGUAAUGAAACCUUUACGAAGUUCCACAUCAUAAAUAUUAUAUUUAGACGGAAGAUUACUUGUCCUGAAACUUCUUCUUAGUUUUGUGUGAUUUUGGAAUUCUUCUACUGUGUUGGGUUCAACCGUAGAAGGAAUUGAGGGGAGAGAAGUUAAAUGAUCUGUAUAUCCAGAAUUUUAAUCAGGAACAGAACUAACUAUUCCACACACUGAAGAUUUUUCAGCAUUCGUGCCAUGAGUUCAAGGUUUUGAAGAGAUAGAAUCAGAUGUUAAAGAUUUUCCUGAAUCCAAGUCAUCAGAUAAUGAUUCUGCAUGGACUUAAGUCAGAAGUUGAUGAUUUUCUCUGAUUUGAAUCAGAUGAUGAUCCUAAGACUGUUGAUAUCAAAUUUUCAGAAUGAUGAACAGUAGUAUCUGGAUUUAAAUCUCUAAGAACUGAGUCAGAAGUAACUGGUUUAUAUUCAGUUUCAUUUUUUUUUAACAGGUAGAACUAGUUCUUUCCUUGUUUCAGGACUU
rnacentral:lncRNA from 1 species